GAUGAAGAACGCAGCGAAAUGCGAUACGUAAUGUGAAUUGCAAAUUCAGUGAAUCAUCGAGUCUUUGAACGCACAUUGCGCCCCCUGGUAUUCCGGGGGGCAUGCCUGUCCGAGCGUCAUUGCUGCCCUCAAGCACGGCUUGUGUGUUGGGCCCCGUCCUCCGAUCCCGGGGGACGGGCCCGAAAGGCAGCGGCGGCACCGCGUCCGGUCCUCGAGCGUAUGGGGCUUUGUCACCCGCUCUGUAGGCCCGGCCGGCGCUUGCCGAUCAACCCAAAUUUUUAUCCAGGUUGACCUCGGAUCAGGUAGAGAUACCCGCUGAACUUAAGCAUAUCAAUAAGCGGAGGA
rnacentral:misc_RNA from 1 species